rnacentral:ncRNA from 1 species
UAAUUGGCAAACUUGUUGAAAAGCAAGGACGCAAAGCUGAGGGCCUAACCCACAAAUGACGGUAUGGCAGCCGGUUGCAG